rnacentral:misc_RNA from 1 species
UAUAACCACAAACCGGUAGGGAAC